GGAGAGGUACCCGAGUGGCCAAAGGGGACGGGCUGUAAACCCGUUGGCUCUGCCUUCGGAGGUUCGAAUCCUCCCCUCUCCACCA
rnacentral:tRNA from 2 species